GACGAACGCUGGCGGCGUGCUUAACACAUGCAAGUCGAACGGAAAGGCCCUGCUUUUGUGGGGUGCUCGAGUGGCGAACGGGUGAGUAACACGUGAGUAACCUGCCCUUGACUUUGGGAUAACUUCAGGAAACUGGGGCUAAUACCGGAUAGCAGCUCCUGCUGCAUGGUGGGGGUUGGAAAGUUUCGGCGGUUGGGGAUGGACUCGCGGCUUAUCAGCUUGUUGGUGGGGUAGUUGCUUACCAAGGCUUUGACGGGUAGCCGGCCUGGGAGGGAGACCGGCCACAUUGGGACUGAGAUACGGACCAGAGGCCUACGGGAGGCAGCGGGGGGGAAUAUGGCACAAUGGGCGGGAGCCUGAUGCAGCGACGCCGCGUGCGGGAUGACGGCCUUCGGGUUGUAAACCGCUUUCGCCUGUGACGCAGCGUGAGUGACGGUAAUGGGUAAAGAAGCACCGGCUAACUACGUG
rnacentral:rRNA from 1 species